rnacentral:rRNA from 1 species
AUUGAACGCUGGCGGCAGGCCUAAUACAUGCAAGUCGAACGGUAACAUAAAAGAAGCUUGCUUCUUUGAUGACGAGUGGCGGACGGGUGAGUAAUAUUUGGGAAACUACCUGAUAGAGGGGGACAACAGUUGGAAACGACUGCUAAUACCGCAUAUAGCCUAAGGGUGAAAGCAGCAAUGCGCUAUCAGAUGUGCCCAAACGGGAUUAGCUAGUAGGUGAGGUAAAGGCUCACCUAGGCGACGAUCUCUAGCUGGUCUGAGAGGAUGAUCAGCCACAUUGGGACUGAGAUACGGCCCAGACUCCUACGGGAGGCAGCAGUGGGGAAUAUUGGGCAAUGGGGGAAACCCUGACCCAGCAACGCCGCGUGAAGGAAGAAGGCUUUCGGGUUGUAAACUUCUUUUACCAGGGACGAAGGACGUGACGGUACCUGGAGAAAAAGCCACGGCUAACUACGUG